rnacentral:rRNA from 1 species
CCUACGGGAGGCAGCAGUGGGGAAUAUUGGACAAUGGGCGAAAGCCUGAUCCAGCAAUGCCGCGUGAGUGAUGAAGGCCUUCGGGUCGUAAAGCUCUUUUACCAGGGAUGAUAAUGACAGUACCUGGAGAAUAAGCUCCGGCUAACUCCGUGCCAGCAGCCGCGGUAAUACGGAGGGAGCUAGCGUUGUUCGGAAUUACUGGGCGUAAAGAGUACGUAGGCGGUUAUUCAAGUCAGAGGUGAAAGCCCGGGGCUCAACCCCGGAACUGCCUUUGAAACUAGAUAACUAGAGUCUUGGAGAGGUUAGUGGAAUUCCGAGUGUAGAGGUGAAAUUCGUAGAUAUUCGGAAGAACACCAGUGGCGAAGGCGACUAACUGGACAAGUACUGACGCUGAGGUACGAAAGCGUGGGGAGCAAACAGGAUUAGAUACCCUGGUAGUCCACGCCGUAAACGAUGAUAACUAGUUGUUCGGUCACUUGGUGACUGAGUGACGCANACUACGACAUUAAGUUAUCCGUCCGUCGGGUAGGUACGGUCGCGAAGAAUUAAACUAACAAUAGUAAGUAGUACGGUAGAGACGNGACGACGACGACGACGAGGAGAGG